GCUUCCGUAGCUCAGUUGGUUAGAGCGAUCCAAUGCCUAUCAUGCAUAGAUGGGAGUUCAAGUUAAGCUAACUACCCUGGAGCA
rnacentral:tRNA from 1 species